CCCUCUCCUGCCCCUGCCGGGGGUGGGGAGACAAGACGCGGACCGGAGGGGGCGCCCAGAACGCUGGGGGCUGCAGCCUGUGGACCCCCGAAGGCUCCCAGCAGCGGUCGUCCGGAGGUGACAGGGCCUGAUCCCGGGGCCUCCGCGGGCGCCGGAGCCCUCCGCGGACCCGGAGCGAGGGGAGGUGCGCGAGGGCGCCCGGUGCUGCGGCAAGCGGGUCUCCCGGGGCGCUCCGAAGACACCGCCCCGGGGCGGAGACGAAGACGCGGUCCUCCCGGGACAAGAGACCAGCCUGAGAAAGGGCGGUAUAGCUUCCAGUCUCCACAACAGCCCUAUGAGAUCCCACUCACACCCCUUCCCCAAAUUAUGUCAGAGGCUAUAAAGGAUGCCACAGCCCUAUGCUGCCCUGGAGGCCAGGGCACCGCCCUGCAAGGUUUCUCAGGCACCGAAGGCUGAGCUGAGUGGAGAGAGGAGUCCUGGACGCCCUGUUGAGAAAGACAGACUGGGGGUUGCAGCAGCUGAAGAUCACAAGAGAGAAGCAGAUAUCCAAACCCUGGUCUUCCUGCACUAAAGCCCUCAGCUGAUACACCGAACUGCGUCCCAGAAAAAGCACCAAGCACUGCACAAAUGGAAAGCAUUUUGUCAAAAUUAUGAUUAUAAACUCAUGCCCGAUUCGUGAGUUACAAAAACAAAACGUAAACAGCACAGCCUGAGUUGUUAAAGCGACUUUUUUCUAAAAGCUCAACGUGCUUUCACUUCAUGGUCUCUCUUCUCCUAAUUUUAUGAUUGUCGUUUUUCUAACCGUUCUCUAAGAGCGCGGUCUCCCAACACUCCUCGGAGGAAAGGAGGAAAUAAGCAGAAGUCAAACCGUAUUACAAUCAGUUCCCAGGGAACAGUGGGAGACUGUGCUUCACUGGGCUUUGGUGUUGCAAAAUAUCACUUGACAAAAAAAUUGGAAGCAACUUAGAUGGUUAUCAGCAGGAUGGAGUCAGCUAGGGGAUCAUUCUAAACAACCAUCCAGAGAUGUAGCAACAUGAAAAUAAUGCUUACAGUAUAGUUGUGAGCAAAAAGGAGAAGACAAAAAACACUGUGCAUGCACUCUGUCCUUGCAACCACUAAAAAUAAAUAUAAGUGCUCGUGA